CCCUUAGAUGUCCUGGGCCGCACGCGCGUUACACUGAUGCAUUCAACGAGCUUAUAACCUUGGCCGAGAGGCCUGGGCAAUCUUGUUAACGUGCAUCGUGAUAGGGAUAGAUUAUUGAAAUUAUUAAUCUUGAACGAGGAAUUCCUAGUAAACGCAGAUCAUCAAUCUGCAUUGAUUACGUCCCUGCCCUUUGUACACACCGCCCGUCGCACCUACCGAUUGGAUGGUCCGGUGAAGCCUCGGGAUUGUAGUUCUUGCCGCUUUAUUGUGGCGUGACCGCGAGAACUUGUCUAAACCUUAUCAUCUAGAGGAAGGUGAAGUCGUAACA
rnacentral:rRNA from 1 species